GGCAGUGCAAAACUGCCAUUCUCUGUGGCACUCAGGUAUAUCAUCGCCUAUCUGCCAGUUGGUCUCAGAAGAUAUGAAUACAGCUUUAAGAGGCUGCCUAGAUUGUGACAUGAUAGCCACGGAGAAACACAAGGGACAAACUGAAUACAAAACUCAGAGUCAACUGAUUUAUCUAAAUCAAGUAGUGGUGAAUCACAGCUUCAAUCAGCCAUGCAAUCAUGAGGGGAGCCAACACAACGUUUACCGUGCUCUGUGAUAAGCCAGGGUCUUCUGUAAGUAGUGAGAAGGUUCUUUAUCUCACCGGAUCUUUGCAGGCAUUGAAGGCUAAACUUCAAAAGUUAACACUGGACAUUCUGAAUGAAUCAAGGACCGCAUGAGGAUUUCAUGUAUCGGUGGAACUUAUUUGGUGGUCACACAGGCUUUCUAUGCAUUUUCUUUAGUUUUGCAGUAAUGAAAAAUUAUAAAGAAAGAAGUAACCAUGAGUUUUAAACAAAGACUCUAUACUGAAAUUGUAACUGUGAACCCUAAUGGCUCAAAAGGAAGCCAUCUACUGUUUAUGAAACUCAGUUUCCCUACCUGCAGUGCCAUGGUAAUAAUAUUCCUUUUCAGUGCAGCUUCAUGAAACUGUAUGAUACAGAACAAUACAAGUACAUUGCAUAUG